ACAAUAAAAUGAACCUAAACAACGUAUCCCUGCGGUGGAGCAGUCCCUGGAAGGCAGGAGAGAAAGGCCAGAUGGAGCACUGAACAAAGGAGAGGAGGAGGCGAUGAUCCCCAAAUGAAGGGUGGAAGAUUGAAGGUCUGAAGAGUGGGAAGACCCAGGAGCAGGCAAGCCCAGGAAGAUGGGAGGAAAAUCAAGAAAGAGAAGGAAACUGAAGCUAGUGGGAAGUGCUUCAAGUUGGAGAUGAUGCUGAGAUGGCCAAAAAGUGAGAGCUGGAAAACAUUUGGAGUGAGUUAAGGAGAGAACGCGAGGCAAGGAAGUGAAGCCGACUUUGUAGACACCUGUAUUUCUGUCGGAACGUAAGCUCCGUGAGGAUAGGAUUGCCUUUCUCAUGAACUAUCAAAUCAUCAGCAUCUGGAAAGGCACUGGGCACAAGCAUAUCCUGUGAAUUUCUCAAGUUUAUAAUAGAAAUCAAGGUCCUCAAGCAUCUUCAAAACUGAAUUUUAAGUACUACAGCAGCCCCGACCUCCUGAGGGACCUGGCAGGUGGAUCCGUCAGGGGCUUGAGUGAAUCCAAGCUCAUUUGCCAUCAUUGUCCCUGGCCUUCCAGGAAGACUCCAAUUCCUUCAGAGAGUGGAUGUCUGUGGACGUGGGGAAAAAGAAGUUCAUGUCACCACCAGAACAAUACUUGGGGAUCUUUCAUGGGAGCUAGCUUUGAUAACUGAAUUCUCACAGAAAUAUAAUAUAGAAGAGAAUUAAGGAGUACAAGGCAACCAAGCACAGAGAUCCUUGAGAGAUAAAGAAAAAACAAGAUGAGUCCUAUAACAGCUCAGCUUAUUGUUUUGAGGACAUUUUCAGGUGUAGCACAGGGAGGAGAAGCUCAGAAGACUCUCUAAGUUAAGGAGAUUGAACAAAGAAUCAAGGAGGACCAAAGCAUCUGGAGUACAGAGUACCAGAGUAUAUAAAGAUAUGACGUGAGAGAACCCUGAAGAUUUAUAGAAGGUUCCCCUUAAUUAUUCAACAAAGCAUAUACAGAUCAACACAGAUGUACGAGGAAACCACUUGGAGCUAGGAAAAGAGCCAUUUGAAAAGAUUAGAGGUGAUAGUACUGAAUGCUCAUACAGGACUGGGGACUUUGACUGUUUCAAUAAACCAUGCUAGAAAACUCAACCCACAGGGUAUUGGGUAGAGUACUUAGGAAGGUCUUAUCUCUGUUGCAAGGAAUGACUGGCCCUAGACAGAGCACUGCUCUAGACAUGCCUAACAAAUCAUAAAUGAAAGACUGAAAAAAAUCAAGUUGUUCAUAAAAAAUUUAACUGCAUUACAGAACAAAAUUCAAGAAUGUUUAGAAGAAUACAGAAAUGUCCCACACUGAAAAAGAUAAACUUUUCAAUGUCAGGCAUCUAAGCAAAGACUACCAGACAUAGAAAGAAGCGGGAAACCAUGAUCCAUGUGGGAGAAUGCACAUAUAGUUAAAACUGACCCGGAAGUGACCCAGAUGUUAGAAUUAGAAGAAAAAAUACAUUAAAAAGUUAUUAUAACAUUAUUCCAUAUUUUCAAAAAGUUAAGUAGAAACAUGGAAGACAUAGAAAAAAAACCCAAAUUGAAUUUUUAUAAAGAUAGAAACAGUGUCUGCAAUGAAAGCAUACUGGAUGAGACGAACAAUGGUUUACAUACUGCAGAAGUACAUUUUAAUGUGCUUGAAGACAUAAUAAUAACUGUAGAAAAUAAAACACAAGGAAAAUAUUAAAAUGAAAAGAGCAUCAGUGAGCUGUGAGUGAACUUCAAAUGACAUAAUAGAUAUUUAAUUGUAGCCCUUAAAGGAGUAGGAGAACAGAAAAAAAUAUUUAAAGGAAUAAUAGUCAAUCAUGAUGAAAACUAUAAACAUGCAGAUGCAAAAAUCAUCAACCCCAAGUAAAAAAUGAAGAAAACUACACCAAAGCCAUCCAGAAUCUAUAAGGAAGUCAAACAAAUCAGCAAGAAAAAAACAAACAAUCCCAUCAAAAAGGUGGGCUAAGGACAUGAAUACACAGUUCUCAAAAGAAGAUAUACAAAUGGCCAAGAAACAUAUGAAAAAAUGCUCAACAUAAUUACUAGGGAAAUGAAAAUCCAAACCACAAUGCGAUACCACUUUACCCCUGCAAGAAUGGCCAUAAUUAAAAAAUAAAAUAAUAGAUGUUAUUUUUCGUGGUGAAAAGGGAAUGGCUGAAAAGGGAUGUGGUGAAAAGGGAACACUUUUACACUGUUGGUGGAUUGUAAACUAGUACAACCACUAUGGAAAACAGUGUGGAGAUUCCUUAAGAACUAAAAAUAGAUCUACCAUUUGAUCCCGCAAUCCCACUACUGGGUAUAUACCCAGAGGAAAAUAAGUCAUUAUAUGAAAAAGAUAAUUACACGUGCAUAUUUAUAGCAGCACAAGUUACAAUUGCAAAAAUAUGGAACCAGCCCAAAUGUCCAUCAGUCAAUGAGCUGAUAAAGAAAAUGUGUUGUAUAUAUAUAUAUAUACACACACACACACCAUGGAAUACUAUUCAGCCAUAAAAAGGAACAAAAUAUGGCAUUUGCAGUGAACUGAAUGGAAUUGGAGACCAUUAUUCUAAGUGAAGUAACUCAGGAAUGAGAAAGCAAACAUCAUGUCUUCUUGCUUAAAAGUGGGAGCUAAGCUAUGAAGACAAAGGCAUAAGAAUGAUACAGUGGACUUUGGGGACUUGGGGAAAAGAGUGGGAGGUGGGUAAGGGAUAAAAGACUACACAUCGGGUACAGUGGACACUGCUUGGGUGACAGGUGCACCAAAAUCUCAGAAAUCACCACUAAAGAACUUAUCCACAUAACCAAACACCACCUGUUCCCCCAACACCUAUCAAAGUAAUAAAUAAAUAAAUAAAAAUGGCUUAAAUCCAAUGAUAAAAAUAAAACCUUAGAAGCAGCCAGAAAAAAAAGACAUGAUAUUUACAGAAGAACAAAGAUAGGGUGGGAGCAGAUUUCUCAUUGGAAACAAUGCAAAUGACAAAACAGUGGAGGAGCAACUUUAAAGUACUAAAAGAAAAAAAAACCCUGAAGCCAGCAGAAAGAGCUUUCAAAAACAAAGGUGAGAUAAAGAUAUUUUCGGACAUACAGCACCUGAAAGAAUUUACCACCAGCCAACCCAUACUACAAGAAAUUUAAAGGAAGAGCUUCAAGGUAGAAGGAAAAUGAUACCAGAUGGGAAUCUGGAUCCAUGAAGAGCACAGAAAAUGGUAAAAACAUGGAUAGUUGUAUAAGAAUUUUUAUUAGUAGUAUCUCUUUUAAAGAUAUUUAACAGUUUAAACACAAAUAAUAAUGCAUUGUGGGGUCUACCACAUAAAAAAGUAAAAUUUAUUAAAACAAUAGCAUAAAGUCAGGGAGGGGGCCAGGCAUGGUGGCUCACGUCUGUAAUCCCAGCACUUUGGGAGGCUGAGGUGGAUGGAUCAUGAGGUCAGGAGAUUGAGACCAUCCUGGCUAACAUGGUGAAACAACCCCUGCCCCCAUCUCUACUGAAAAUGCAAAAAAAUUAGCUGAGCGUGGUGUCAAGCACCUGUAGUCCCAGCUACUUAGGGGGCUGAGGCAGGAGAAUUGCUUGAACUGUGGAGGCAGAGGUUGCAGUGAGCGGAGAUUGUGCCACUGCACUCUCCAGCCUGGCGACAGAGUGAGACUCCAUCUCAAAAAAAAAAAAAAAAAAAAGUCGGGGAGGGGAGAAAUAGAAAUAUAUAACUCGUAAGUUUUUAUACAUGAAAUGGUACAAUACUACUUGAAAGUAGAUGGUGAUAAAGAUAUUUACUAUAAAUCCUAAAGCAACCACCAAAAUAAUACCACAAAGAGUUAUAGCUGAAGAGCCAACAAGACAAAAUGUAAUCAUAAAAAAGACUCAAUUCAAAAGAAGGCAGAAAACAAGGGAAAGGACAAUAAAGAGCAAAUGUAACAAAUAAGAAAUAAAUGAAAAAUUAUCAAUUAAAACCUAAUCAUAUCAAUAAUCACAUUAACUACAAAUAGUUUAAAUACCUCAAUUAAAAGGCAGAGAUUGUCAAAUUGGCUAGAAAAGCAAGGCCCAAUUAUAUGUUGUCUACAAGAAACACACUUUAAACUUAAAGGCACAAAUAGGUUUAAAUACAUAA